GGUUAUGGCUCAAGGGUAGAGCAGUUGCCUACCAUGCAUGAGGCACUGGGUUUGAUCCUCAGCACCA
rnacentral:tRNA from 1 species